GUGGAUUAGAUACCCUGGUAGUCCACGCCCUAAACUAUGAACACUAGACGUGUGCCGCUUAGCGGUACGUGUCCAAGCGAAAGCGUUAAGUGUUCCACCUGGGGAGUACGGCCGCAAGGUUAAAACUCAAAGGAAUUGACGGGGGCCCGCACAAGCGGAGGAGUAUGUGGUUUAAUUCGAUGAUACGCGAGUAACCUUACCUGGACUAGAAUGCGCAUGACGAUCCGGGAAACCGGAUUUCCCUUCGGGGCAUAAAGCAAGGUGCUGCACGGUUGUCGUCAACU
rnacentral:rRNA from 1 species